UACGUAGGGGGCAAGCGUUGUCCGGAAUUAUUGGGCGUAAAGAGCGCGUAGGCGGUCCGAUAAGUCGGCUGUGAAAGUCAAGGGCUCAACCCUUGAAAGCCGGCCGAUACUGUCGGACUAGAGUCCGGAAGAGGCGAGUGGAAUUCCCGGUGUAGCGGUGAAAUGCGCAGAUAUCGGGAGGAACACCAAUGGCGAAGGCAGCUCGCUGGGACGGUACUGACGCUGAGGCGCGGAAAGCG
rnacentral:rRNA from 1 species